AGCUUUGCGCAGUGGCAGUAUCAUAGCCAAUGAGGUUUAUCUGAGGCGCGAUUAUUGCUAAUUGAAAAAGAAAGUAGUGUCUGAGUCAGAAGUGAAGAGAAGAACCAAACGACAAGGACCUGUUUGGAAUGGGCGAGCAGAGACUUGGCUUCAAGUUUGCAGGCUUCAUUACUUGUGAGUGAGAAAGGAAG
ensembl:snRNA LOC120096439 U4 spliceosomal RNA